rnacentral:rRNA from 1 species
GUGGGGAAUAUUGGACAAUGGGCGAAAGCCUGAUCCAGCAAUGCCGCGUGAGUGAUGAAGGCCUUAGGGUUGUAAAGCUCUUUUACCCGGGAUGAUAAUGACAGUACCGGGAGAAUAAGCUCCGGCUAACUCCGUGCCAGCAGCCGCGGUAAUACGGAGGGAGCUAGUGUUGUUCGGAAUUACUGGGCGUAAAGCGCACGUAGGCGGCUUUGUAAGUUAGAGGUGAAAGCCUGGAGCUUAACUCCAGAACUGCCUUUAAGACUGCAUCGCUUGAAUCCAGGAGAGGUGAGUGGAAGUCCGAGUGUAGAGGUGAAAUUCGUAGAUAUUCGGAAGAACACCAGUGGCGAAGGCGGCUCACUGGACUGGUAUUGACGCUGAGGUGCGAAAGCGUGGGGAGCAAACAGGAUUAGAUACCCUUGUAGUCC